CCUACGGGAGGCAGCAGUGAGGAAUAUUGGUCAAUGGACGCAAGUCUGAACCAGCCAUGCCGCGUGCAGGAUGACGGCCCUAUGAGUUGUAAACUGCUUUUGUACGGGAGUAAACCCCGAUACGUGUAUCGGGUUGAAAGUAUCGUACGAAUAAGGAUCGGCUAACUCCGUUCCAGCAGCCGCGGUAAUACGGAGGAUCCGAGCGUUAUCCGGUUUUAUUGGGUUUAAAGGGUGUGUAGGCGGUUUGAUAAGUUAGUAGUGAAAUGUAUGGGCUCAACCCCGAAACUGCCAGUAAUACUGUUGGACUAGAGAAUAGUUGCGGUAGGCGGAAUGUAUGGUGUAGCGGUGAAAUGCUUAGAGAUCAUACAGAACACCGAUUGCGAAGGCAGCAUACCAAACUAUAUCUGACGUUGAGGUACGAAAGCGUGGGUAGCAAACAGGAUUAGAUACCCUUGUAGUC
rnacentral:rRNA from 1 species